rnacentral:rRNA from 1 species
AUUCCAGCUCCAAUAGCGUAUAUUAAAGUUGUUGCAGUUAAAAAGCUCGUAGUUGAACUUCUGAUAGUUGAUUUGGCUGGCUUCGGUCGCCUUGUUGGCUGUCAUCCGCUUGGGAAUUUCGUUCGGUCUUCAUUGAUUGGCGGGGGGAUCAAGCAUUUUACUUUGAAAAAAUUAGAGUGUUCAAGGCAGGCUAUCGCCAUGAAUACACAAGCAUGGAAUAAUGGAAUAGGACUCUCAGUCAUUUUAUUGGUUAUUGACUGAAAGUAAUGAUUAAUAGGGACAGUUGGGGGCAUUCGUAUUUAAUUGUCAGAGGUGAAAUUCUUGGAUUUAUUAAAGACGAACUUAUGCGAAAGCAUUUGCCAAGGAUGUUUUCAUCA